GAUGAACGCUAGCGGCAGGCUUAAUACAUGCAAGUCGAACGGUGAAGGAGGAGCUUGCUCUUCUGGAUCAGUGGCGAACGGGUGAGUAACACGUGAGCAAUCUGCCCUUGACUCUGGGAUAACAGUUGGAAACAGCUGCUAAUACCGGAUACGAGACGUGACCGCAUGGUCAACGUCUGGAAAGAACUUCGGUCAAGGAUGAGCUCACGGCCUAUCAGUUAGUUGGUGAGGUAAUGGCUCACCAAGGCGACGACGGGUAGCCGGCCUGAGAGGGUGACCGGCCACACUGGGACUGAGACACGGCCCAGACUCCUACGGGAGGCAGCAGUGGGGAAUAUUGCACAAUGGGCGAAAGCCUGAUGCAGCAACGCCGCGUGAGGGACGACGGCCUCGGUUGUAACGUACUUUAGUCAGAAGAAGCGAAAGUAGACGGUACGUUGCAGAAAAGAACGCCGGCGUAACUACGUGCCAGCAGCCGCGGUAAUGAGU
rnacentral:rRNA from 1 species